rnacentral:rRNA from 1 species
UACGUAGGAGGCGAGCGUUGUCCGGAUUUAUUGGGCGUAAAGCGCGCGCAGGUGGUGCGGUAAGUCUGUCGUGAAAUCUCCCGGCUCAACUGGGAGGGUGCGGUGGAGACUGCCGGACUGGAGGCACUCAGAGGCCGGUGGAAUUCCCGGUGUAGUGGUGAAAUGCGUAGAUAUCGGGAGGAACACCAGUGGCGAAGGCGACUACCUGGCCUGUUCUUGACGCUGAGGCGCGAAAGCUAGGGGAGCAAACGGG